rnacentral:lncRNA from 1 species
ACUACAAGAAAAACAACAUUUAGCUGCAAAGAAAAGUGACGGCCCACUUGUGGACACUAAAUAGUGUCCGCUUAACCUUCACAAUUAAAGAAAAAAAUAAUAAUAAUAAAAUUGAAGGUUUGGCUGACGCUAUGCCUACUUAAAUUUGAAGGCUUAACCCACACUAUCUCUACACUAUCUUAUUUUAAAUUUUUGAAGGUUUAGCCCCCGCUAUAAUUUUAAAUUUAAAUUUAAAUUGAAAGUCAAAAUACCCAACCAUGGUUUCAUUUUUGGGGGCUUAAACUCAUUCAAAAGCUUAAGCAUUUGAGCAACUUAGUAGUGGAGCAUUUGAGCAUUUGGAACGUGAUUGAGCAGUGGAGCAUUUGAGCAUUUGGUACGUGAUUGAACGUGACCGUGAACGUGAUUGAGCAGUGGAUCGUGAGCAUUUGAGCGAGUGCGAUUGAGCGAUGGAGUGAGAACGACGGAGCGAGAGCGAUG